rnacentral:rRNA from 1 species
UUUAUGGAGAGUUUGAUCCUGGCUCAGGAUGAACGCUGGCGGCGUGCCUAAUACAUGCAAGUCGAGCGAACAGACGAGGAGCUUGCUCCUCUGACGUUAGCGGCGGACGGGUGAGUAACACGUGGAUAACCUACCUAUAAGACUGGGAUAACUUCGGGAAACCGGAGCUAAUACCGGAUAACAUGUUGAACCGCAUGGUUCAACAGUGAAAGACGGUCUUGCUGUCACUUAUAGAUGGAUCCGCGCCGCAUUAGCUAGUUGGUAAGGUAACGGCUUACCAAGGCAACGAUGCGUAGCCGACCUGAGAGGGUGAUCGGCCACACUGGAACUGAGACACGGUCCAGACUCCUACGGGAGGCAGCAGUAGGGAAUCUUCCGCAAUGGGCGAAAGCCUGACGGAGCAACGCCGCGUGAGUGAAGAAGGUCUUCGGAUCGUAAAACUCUGUUAUUAGGGAAGAACAAAUGUGUAAGUAACUAUGCACGUCUUGACGGUACCUAAUCAGAAAGCCACGGCUAACUACGUGCCAGCAGCCGCGGUAAUACGUAGGUGGCAAGCGUUAUCCGGAAUUAUUGGGCGUAAAGCGCGCGUAGGCGGUUUUUUAAGUCUGAUGUGAAAGCCCACGGCUCAACCGUGGAGGGUCAUUGGAAACUGGAAAACUUGAGUGCAGAAGAGGAAAGUGGAAUUCCAUGUGUAGCGGUGAAAUGCGCAGAGAUAUGGAGGAACACCAGUGGCGAAGGCGACUUUCUGGUCUGUAACUGACGCUGAUGUGCGAAAGCGUGGGGAUCAAACAGGAUUAGAUACCCUGGUAGUCCACGCCGUAAACGAUGAGUGCUAAGUGUUAGGGGGUUUCCGCCCCUUAGUGCUGCAGCUAACGCAUUAAGCACUCCGCCUGGGGAGUACGACCGCAAGGUUGAAACUCAAAGGAAUUGACGGGGACCCGCACAAGCGGUGGAG